CUCUCUUGGCAUUCAACAUGGCUUCCUCACUGAGCUUAAUCAUUUCUAGCUUUUGAUUUAAAGUGAGAGAUGUGCGAUUAUUCCUUAAUUA